GAGGCCUCGGAGACUCGGUUUGCACCGAGUCCAGGAGGGAGGUCUGCUCGAGCGACGGCAGCUCGGAGCGUGAAGCGCGCAAUUAGCGAGUACGCUCCGAAUUUGCGCGUCAAGCGUGCGGAGCGUUGUCUGUGCUUGUUUAACGUUCGAUGAACAACAAGGACGAAUUACGCUCUGUGCGUUUGACGCGCAAUUCGGCACGGCCUAGAGGAUAAGUUAAUUCCCGUCUUUUUUUCGCGCGAUCCGAUUGACAAUCGGCUGCGUCGAUUUGAAAAAUUCCAAAAUUCAAAUUUCAAAAUUUGAAAAUUUGUCAGACAAUACGCUUCACUCGUCCCGGAAGCGAAUCGCGAAUCCUCCGCAUUGUAGGAUUCCAUUUGCAUUUUACGAGUACCCGCGCACGCACAAUCUCGUCGUUUUACUUGCUUCGGGUAAACUGAGCGAACAAGUAUUUCAUUUGGAAUUAGAAGACGGAAUAAUCUUGCGCAAGAAGAGGUAGAGAGAUGGGAGCUUUCAUUUUAGAAAAGGCUCUUUAACAGUUGAUUAUUCAUUAAUUGCGUGUUAAACGAAAUACCGCCAUCGAUAACCGCGAGUUACUCGUUUCCGCGUAAUCGUUAAUCCCUCUCGGUACCUAGUAACGCAAGUUUCUGCGUUUUCAAAACGGAUCGGUUUCACUGUUGGGAAUGUAUCGGUGCAACGGUCCGUUACGUAUUAACGAUCUUGGGCCGCGCGAGCUAUCGAAAGUGCUCGGAAUCGGAUCGUGACGCACGUCCGCAAAAUGUCGGGGGUAUCGUACGCGUCAAUUAUUUUACGAAUUUAUGGAUUGGGUAAUCUGCUGUUCCAGUAGAGUAGGUACCAGGCAUUCGUAACUGACAACCACAUUCUACGCGUUGCGCCGUGUGUGUGUGUGUAUGUUGCGUAUGUGUUUACAUAGGACAGGUUAAGGAUAAAAACGAUAGUCUCGCGGAAUGGGUAAAAACGCGCGCACUUUUGUACACACACUCGCCUUCUUGUUAACAAUAUUAUAAUAGGCCGAUGUUACGAGCUAGGAAAUAGUUACGGCAUGAUAUAAACGCUAGAGUUUAUCUAUAUUGAUAAUGUUAUGUUUAUGUGAAACCAACAAACGAUGGAAUCACUUUUCAACGAGAUAGCAUUAUAUAUUUUUAUUAGGUACGAAUAAAGAUAAUAAAGUUUAUAUAAACUCUCUCCAUCAAAUACAAUAAGCUUACAAAAUAAUUCAUAAAUCUUUGGAACUACAGUUUUAUAAAUAAUACUAAUUUAUCCGAAAUUUUUUGCCGCUCUUAUACAAAGUUUUCACGGAAAGAACAAAUUUAUUGUAGUAUUUAAAAAUUUCGCUAAAUACAGACCAGAAAAUAAUUUUACGUUGUGCUGUCAAAAUUAUUCUGUUAGGAAACAUUCGAGCAAAAUGUUUUGACGUUCUAGCGAUCACGUUAAGCAUCCGCAAAAAAUUUUGCUGAAAUACAGAUUUGGAGAUCAUAUCGAAUUAUAUGAAAAAAAUUGUAUGACCAAUUUUUUUCAAAUGGUUUAAUUGAAUUAUCUUCAGAUCUGUAUUUCGGCAAGACAUUGUUCUUUCCGUUCAAGAAAUGAAUAUACGGUAUUUUCGGGGAAAAAGCAGUCUCUUUUUUCCAGGGUUUUAUUACCAAACUUCUCUUUACAAUUACUCGCCUCGUUAUAAUCUCAUUUGGAUGAGCGGUGAUUCUCUCUCUUUAAUUAAACGAGUAAACAGACAUCACAAUGUGCGUAUCGCAACCUGAUUAUAUAAUUACUCCGUAACGCGGCGGUUUUUAUAUUUAUACGCACGCAUAUUUCAUGAGCUUCACGUAAUUCGCACAGGUCGGUUAUGUUAUUGCGAUGCUCCUUUCGUUGUCUUACGCGCGUUACAUCUUAUAACUGUUUGCUUUUGGCGGUAGCAUAAAUUACCUUUCACAUGCCUUUUACUUCGAAAGUGGUACAGGUCAAUUUUCGAAAACCACCGAAAUAGAGUACGCGACGUGAGAA